UAAGUGUCUUUUAAAAAAUCAUUUCAAUUUUGGCUGGCCAAUGAACUCAUAAGUGUAGGUAGCGUGCUACAUGGGGGCAAGUCUUUUGCUCAAACCACAGGGUCUCUGGCCCAAUGAGUGGAGUUUGAUAGUAAUACUUGCUAAAAGU
ensembl:snoRNA SNORA62 Small nucleolar RNA SNORA62/SNORA6 family